GCCUGGGCGACAGAGCCAGACUCUGUCUAAAAAAAAAAAAAAAAAAAAAAGCUUGAUGGUGCCCAUCUCAUGUCAGCCACAACCCCUUGUUUAUCCCAGCUUGGCUUCUGGUCUAUGCCCAUGCCUGGUUUAUGCUUUGGACACAUAG
rnacentral:snoRNA from 1 species